CCCCAUUGCGGGCUCUGUCAUUCUCAAACCCAGGUCGACCCACUCUUCCCGCCCACUGGCCCGCCGCAGCUCCCACCAUUGGCUCGCGGCACCUGUCCGUUUCCUGGGAGAGUUCAGCACCUCCCGGCAGGAAGAGGCUCCGGCCUCAUUGGGUGCGUGAGGAGGGAAGGGUGGAUCCUAAAAGGUAAUACUGAGCCUUCAUUCAAACUAAAAGGCUGGAAGGGAGGCCGCUGCCUUUGUUUGCCAUGGAUGGGUAGGGGCUGCACUGAGCAGCACCGGUGUUCUUCAUCCGGCUGCACCCCCAACAGAGCUCUUUCUUCCCCAGAUCCCUUUUACAGUUGGAUUCUCCCUCUUGGAUCUGGCUCUGCCUUAGUCCAACCUAGAGGGAUCAGCUUCGCCCACGCCCACUCUCACCCGGAACCUUUCAUCUCUUAUUGAAGCCUUUUAGGCCCAUUGGGAUGUUCAUUAGAACUCUGAAAACUACAGUUCUCCCCUUUAUGAGGACUGCACCACAGCUCGCCCUCUCCUGGGUUCCGGUAAGAAGAGAUUCCAACACCACUCUUUUUUCAGAAUUCAGAAAGGCAAGAGACCACCUUACUGAGCUUCAAACUGGGGCUGGGAACGCUGCCAUGAAUUGGGCUUGGUCUGUCUGAAGGGAGCCACCUUUUCGACAAUCCUUAGACUUCUUUUGCCUGUUGGAAUUACACCUUGGAUCGUGGCGAAGUCUAUAGAGGUCAGAUUAAGAAGAACCAAAGCAGAAUAAACGUAGAAGCCGAUGCUGAGUUCACAACCUGGUUGCAGAGUGAGCCCAUGGGACAGCCCUCUGAAAUUAUACUGCUUACAACCAUGCUGAGUCUGCAAGGACUUCGUCCAAGCCUUUCCGUCCAGGACCUCAAACAGAUCCAAUCACAAGAAGAGAGAUUUCAGGAAAGAGAAAAUUAUUCCUAUCAUCAGGGUUUUUGAAGAACAUGAAAUGACUGGGAAAAUAAUC
rnacentral:lncRNA from 1 species